rnacentral:lncRNA from 10 species
GGGAGCUUAGAUGUGGAAGCUCUUUGGAAACCAAGAAACACUCUGAAAAUGAAAAGGGAAGCAGAAGUUCUCCUUAGCUGAUUUUUCUUCUUGCCUUAUACUGGGUUCUUUAACACCAGAACAAAAAUAAAUAAAUAAAAGAAUCUUCCAGAAAUUCAUGAAGAGACUUCAGGUCAGGAAAGCCUGAACUUUCUCAUCCAACACCCGUUCAAGUCGGAGGAUGCUGAUUAAUUCAUGAUGGAAAGGUAUCAAUUUCACAGCCCAGACCUCUACAUUCUUGAAAUGCUCUUCUCAUGGGAGACAUUAAAUAAGCUUUGAAUUAACUGAAGAACCAAUGAUGUGAUCCCUGGAUACUGGCAAUUGUUGCCCAAGAAAACCUCUCCCCUUGCUGUGGGACUGCUGGGCACCCAAAUAAUGCACCCAAAUAAUUUGAUAGCUCUUGUUACACAGCUCUUCUUGGACUAAAAGGCCCUCAGCAUUCCUGUCAAUUUCUACACUCCUGAAGCUUCAUCUGGAGACCUCUGUGGAUUCUAUAACUCAAAGACCCAGGCUGACGGCUGGUGGAAUAGCUACCAUCUCAAAC